UACACACCGCCCGUCACACCAUGAAAGCCCUGUUGUACCAGAAGUCGCUAUGCUAACCGUAAGGGGGCAGGCGCCUAAGGUAUGGCCGGUGAUUGGGGGUG
rnacentral:rRNA from 1 species